rnacentral:ncRNA from 2 species
CGCAUGAAGAGACGCGCUGGUUCCUGUUGUUAUGACAGGCUAAGAGGGAAUGCGAGGGGGAUCGUCCAUUGAUCCGCUAUCGCAGCCGCCCCCGCGACCGUGACCGGAUUGGUCUUCAUGCCCACUGGCGUUUCGUGCUGGGAAGGGGAAGAUCGUAGGAUGGACAUACCAUCUGAUCCGCAAGCCGGGAGACCUGCCUGCGCGAGGCGCUAUCG